GACGAACGCUGGCGGCGUGCUUAACACAUGCAAGUCGAACGGAAAGGCCCUGCUUUUGUGGGGUGCUCGAGUGGCGAACGGGUGAGUAACACGUGAGUAACCUGCCCUUGACUUUGGGAUAACUUCAGGAAACUGGGGCUAAUACCGGAUAGGAGCUCCUGCUGCAUGGUGGGGGUUGGAAAGUUUCGGCGGUUGGGGAGGGACUCGCGGCUUAUCAGCUUGUUGGGGGGGUAGUGGCUUACCAAGGCUUUGACGGGUAGCCGGCCUGAGAGGGUGACCGGCCACAUUGGGACUGAGAUACGGCCCAGACUCCUACGGGAGGCAGCAGUGGGGAAUAUUGCACAAUGGGCGGAAGCCUGAUGCAGCAACGCCGCGUGCGGGAUGACGGCCUUCGGGUUGUAAACCGCUUUCGCCUGUGACGAAGCGUGAGUGACGGUAAUGGGUAAAGAAGCACCGGCUAACUACGUG
rnacentral:rRNA from 1 species